UUAUUGAUGAAAUUAAUUGGUCCGUGUUUAUGAAUUUUGGUUGAAUAUAUCAUUCCAAUUACUGAAUUUA